rnacentral:rRNA from 1 species
ACUGGAGGACCGAACCAGUUUCCGUUGAAAAGGAUUUGGAUGAGUUGUGGGUAGGGGUGAAAGGCCAAUCAAACUGAGAAAUAGCUCGUACUCCCCGAAAUGUAUUUAGGUACAGCGUCGGCGUGGAGUUACGGGGAGGUAGAGCUACCGAUUGGACUAGGGGGUGUCACAGCCUACCGAAUCCAGACGAACUCCGAAUGCCCCGUAAUAUAGCCGGCAGUGAGGCGUGGGGUGCUAAGGUCCCAUGCCGAGAGGGAAAGAACCCAGACCAUCCGCUAAGGUCCCUAAAUUCGGACUAAGUUGAACAAAGGAGGUCCACUUGCCUUGACAGCCAGGAUGUUGGCUUGGAAGCAGCCAUUCAUUUAAAGAGUGCGUAACAGCUCACUGGUCGAGCGAGAGGGCAUCGAUAAUACGCGGGCAUCAAGUCCGGUACCGAAGCGAUGGAUUUGCAUUAUGUGCAAGUGGUAGGGGAGCAUUCUAGCAGCGGGGAAGGUAUCCUGUCAGGGGUGCUGGAGCGGCUAGAAAAGCAAAUGUAGGCAUGAGUAACGAUAAGGCGGGUGAGAAACCCGCCCCCCGAUAGACUAAGGUUUCCUGCUCAACGCUAAUCGGAGCAGGGUUAGUCGGGCCCUAAGGCUAGGCCGAGAGGCUACGUCGAUGGACAGCUGGUUGAUAUUCCAGCACUUACAACAAGAAGUGAUGCAGUGACGCAGAAGUGAAAGAUGCGCGGGCGGACGGAAGUGCCCGUUGAAGGGUGUAGGUAUAGAGACAGUAGGUAAAUCCGCUGACUUUGCUGAAACCUGAUAGUACCCUACGGCCUCGGCCACGGGGAUAGUCAUCCUAAUCAGACUGCCAAGAAAACCUGCUAAGCGUUUUAAUCUUGUUGUAACCCGUACCGCAAACCGACACAGGUAGUCAAGGAGAGCAUCCUGAGGGGCUCGAGUGAAUCACGGCCAAGGAACUCGGCAAAAUGGACCUGUAACUUCGGGAGAAGGGUCGCUUCCUCUGUGCAAACAGAGAAGCCGCAGUGAAAAGGCCCAGGCGACUGUUUAACAAAAACACAUGACUUUGCGAACGCGUAAGCGGAAGUAUAAGGUCUGACACCUGCCCGGUGCCGGAAGGUUAAGAGGGGAACUUAGUCGCAAGGCGAAGGUUUGAAUCGAAGCCCCGGUAAACGGCGGCCGUAACUAUAACGGUCCUAAGGUAGCGAAAUUCCUUGUCGGGUAAGUUCCGACCUGCACGAAUGGUGUAACGAUCUGGGCGCUGUCUCAGCCGUG